CCAGGGUCAGAGACGUCCCGUGAGAGAGAGAGACAGGUUGAGGUUUCCAGGAUCAGAGACGUCCCGUGUGAGAGAGAGAGAGACAGGUUGAGGUUUCCAGGGUCAGAGACGUCCCGUGAGAGAGAGAGAGAGAGAGAGAGACAGGUUGAGGUUUCCAGGAUCAGAGACGUCCCGUGUGAGAGAGAGACAGGUUGAGGUUUCCAGGGUCAGAGACGUCCCGUGUGAGAGAGAGAGAGAGGCAGGUUGAGGUUUCCAGGGUCAGAGACGUCCCGUGUGAGAGAGAGAGAGAGGCAGGUUGAGGUUUCCAGGAUCAGAGACGUCCCGUGUGAGAGAGAGAGAGAGAGGCAGGUUGAGGUUUCCAGGGUCAGAGACGUCCCGUGUGAGAGAGAGACAGAUUGAGGUUUCCAGGGUCAGAGACGUCCCGUGUGAGAGAGAGAGACAGGUUGAGGUUUCCAGGAUCAGAGACGUCCCGUGUGAGAGAGAGAGACAGGUUGAGGUUUCCAGGAUCAGAGACGUCCCGUGAGAGAGAGAGAGACAGGUUGAGGUUUCCAGGAUCAGAGACGUCCCGUGUGAGAGAGAGAGACAGGUUGAGGUUUCCAGGAUCAGAGACGUCCCGUGAGAGAGAGAGAGACAGGUUGAGGUUUCCAGGAUCAGAGACGUCCCGUGUGAGAGAGAGAGACAGGUUGAGGUUUCCAGGGUCAGAGACGUCCCGUGUGAGAGAGAGAGACAGGUUGAGGUUUCCAGGGUCAGAGACGUCCCGUGUGAGAGAGAGACAGGUUGAGGUUUCCAGGAUCAGAGACGUCCCAAAGUUGUCAUAUGUUGAGGCAGUGGAGAAAGUAGAGGAAGAUGGGUCAAGAGAAGUAGAUCUGUACCAGUACAGAGGGAUAAACCAACAAGUGAUAUAUAUAUAUAUAUGUUUCAGUAAGAUUGGACUUUUAUAAUGUAUACUUAUUCUCCACCAUAAUUUGCAAAUAAAUUCAUUAAAAAUCCUACAAUGUGAUUUUCUGGAUUUUUUUUCUCAUUUUGUCUGUCAUAGUUGAAGUGUACCGAUGAUGAAAAUUACAGGCCUCUCCCAUCUUUUUAAGUGGGAGAACUUGCACAAUUGGUGGCUGACUAAAUACUUUUUUGCCCCACUGUAUAUAUAUAUAUAUAUAUAUAGCUAUAAAUAGAUGGAUAGAUAUUUAUAGCUCUAUCUAUCUAUAUAUAUAUAUCUAUAUAUAUAUCUAUAUAUCUAUAUAUAUAUAUAUAUAGCUAUCAACUGUACUGCAGGGAGGGAUCGUAAGUCACAGAGAAUAGAGGUUCUGGUGGCAGCUGCAGAGAGGUACUUGGGAGGACGAGAUUUGACGUCAGGAGAUGGGAGAGGCCUGUGUGUUGAGCGGUGGUGGUGUCCUGUCUUUUCAGGCUGUUGGCCUGAGGUACGACUAGAUGGUUAUAAAUAGUGGAGUAGGGUGGGGGGGUUUAGUGUAGGGUUAGAUGGUAGGGUAUUUAAAUAGUGGAUUAGAGUGGUGGGUUGUUAAUGAGUGUAGAGUUAGAUGGUAGAUGUUAGGGUAUAUAAAUAGUGGAGUAGGGUGGGGGGUUGUUAAUGAGUGUAGAGUUAGAUGGUAGAUUGUAGGGUAUUUAAAUAGUGGAGUAGGGUGGGGGUGUUUAGUGUAGGGUUAGAUGGUAGGGUAUUUAAAUAGUGGAGUA
ensembl:lncRNA